CCCCAUGCAACAGAUAUAUAAUCAUGGCAUACAUCAUACAGAAUCAGAUCGUCAUGCUUUUCAGUCAAAAUUAACCCUAGGGGUAUAACGGUAAUUUUACACCUAAGGGUAUAACAGUAAUUUUCCAUACAUAGGGGUAUUAUAGUAAUUUAGCUACUUUUAGGGUUUGCAUGCAUAUCCUAACUAUUUACGUACUAUCAGAACACUUACCGCGCAUACUUACCGAAUUGGG
rnacentral:lncRNA from 1 species